GGACGUGCUGGGAAAAGACCUGAGGCUGCGCCAGCUCCUGCGGCAGAAGCGCCUGGCGGCCUCUCUGGAUGCCUAGGGUCGGCAGCGUCGGUGCCGUCCAUGUCCUGUCCACCUCCGGCGGCACGAGGAGAUGAUCGUCCCUGGAGGAGCCCCCCGAUCCCCUCUGAGCCCGGGGCCAUUUCCCCUCAAUAAUCAAUAAACCCUUUCAGCAGA